rnacentral:rRNA from 1 species
GACGAACGCUGGCGGCGUGCUUAACACAUGCAAGUCGAACGGAAAGGCCCUGCUUGCAGGGUACUCGAGUGGCGAACGGGUGAGUAACACGUGGGUGAUCUGCCCUGUACUUCGGGAUAAGCCUGGGAAACUGGGUCUAAUACCGGAUAGGAGCCAUUUUUAGUGUGAUGGUUGGAAAGUUUUUUCGGUGUAGGAUGAGCUCGCGGCCUAUCAGCUUGUUGGUGGGGUAAUGGCCUACCAAGGCGGCGACGGGUAGCCGGCCUGAGAGGGUGGACGGCCACAUUGGGACUGAGAUACGGCCCAGACUCCUACGGGAGGCAGCAGUGGGGAAUAUUGCACAAUGGGCGCAAGCCUGAUGCAGCGACGCCGCGUGGGGGAUGACGGCCUUCGGGUUGUAAACUCCUUUCGCUAGGGACGAAGCUUUUUGUGACGGUACCUAGAUAAGAAGCACCGGCUAACUACGUG